rnacentral:rRNA from 1 species
ACGGUAACAGGAAGCAGCUUGCUGCUUUGCUGACGAGUGGCGGACGGGUGAGUAAUGUCUGGGAAACUGCCCGAUGGAGGGGGAUAACUACUGGAAACGGUAGCUAAUACCGCAUAAUGUCGCAAGACCAAAGAGGGGGACCUUCGGGCCUCUUGCCAUCGGAUGUGCCCAGAUGGGAUUAGCUUGUUGGUGAGGUAACGGCUCACCAAGGCGACGAUCCCUAGCUGGUCUGAGAGGAUGACCAGCCACACUGGAACUGAGACACGGUCCAGACUCCUACGGGAGGCAGCAGUGGGGAAUAUUGCACAAUGGGCGCAAGCCUGAUGCAGCCAUGCCGCGUGUAUGAAGAAGGCCUUCGGGUUGUAAAGUACUUUCAGCGGGGAGGAAGGGGUUAAGGUUAAUAACCUUAGCCAUUGACGUUACCCGCAGAAGAAGCACCGGCUAACUCCGUGCCAGCAGCCGCGGUAAUACGGAGGGUGCAAGCGUUAAUCGGAAUUACUGGGGCGUAAAGCGGCACGCAGGCGGUCUGUCAAGUCGGAUGUGAAAUCCCCGGGCUCAACCUGAGAAACUGCAUUCGAAACUGGCAGGCU